AUUGAACGCUGGCGGCAUGCUUUACACAUGCAAGUCGAACGGCAGCGGGGACUUCGGUCCGCCGGCGAGUGGCGAACGGGUGAGUAAUGCAUCGGAACGUGCCUAUCAGUGGGGGAUAACGCUUCGAAAGGAGUGCUAAUACCGCAUAUUCUCUGAGGAGGAAAGCAGGGGACCUUAGGGCCUUGCGCUGAUAGAGCGGCCGAUGUCGGAUUAGCUAGUUGGUGAGGUAAAGGCUCACCAAGGCGACGAUCCGUAGCGGGUCUGAGAGGAUGAUCCGCCACACUGGGACUGAGACACGGCCCAGACUCCUACGGGAGGCAGCAGUGGGGAAUUUUGGACAAUGGGCGAAAGCCUGAUCCAGCCAUGCCGCGUGAGUGAAGAAGGCCUUCGGGUUGUAAAGCUCUUUUGUCCGGGAGGAAAUCCUGGCCUCUAAUACAGGUCGGGGAUGACAGUACUGGAAGAAUAAGCACCGGCUAACUACGUGCCAGCAGCCGCGGUAACAC
rnacentral:rRNA from 1 species